rnacentral:tRNA from 1 species
UGGGUUGUGGCUUAGCGGUAGAGCACUCACCUAGCAUGUGUGAGGCCCUGGGUUCGAUCCUCACCACCACAU